GCCCCGAGUUCACUUUCGUCUUUCCUUUCACUCCCCUCCAUCUCUCUCUCUCUCUCUCUCUCCAUUCUCUCUGCAACCCCAUCGGUGAAUCUGCAAUUCAAAACCCUCUCUCUCAUCACCACCACUGAACAAAAGGACUAAGUUUGGCUCGGGUUUAGGGUUCUAGGGUUUCCUUUCCCCUUCGAUUUAGGAUUGGUUGAAGUAGACUAGGAAGAAGGUUUUGUUUGCUUCUUUGGAGAAGAUUUAGGAAGUUGGCCAGGUUGAUGAGCUGAAAGUGGAGAAGUGAACCAAUGCAAGAUUUAUUUGACGAAACAUGGAUUGAGGAUGAUUGGGAACAAAGACACUCUCGUUGGGUGCAUUAAAGAGCAUCUAGACUUUCUCAAAGGUGGUGGAGAGAAGUACACCCAAAAUCCAGAUUUGUAUUGAACUGCAAAGAAUUAAUUGCUUUCGGCGAUGGAACACAAGUCAUUCCAGAACCAAGCGGCAUGGACAUUUUGUUUGGCUGAUGAGAAAAACAAUGCAGUAUCAAAUUUUGUCAGAUUUCACUCAAAUGUUUUUGGUGGCUGUGUGGAGAUGAUGGUAGCAGUAGCUGCCAUAUCCUUUUUUGCUGGGGUUAUUAUAAUUUUUGUAAUCAUCCUCCAUUUCUUCGAUACAUAUGUCUCUCAGCGCUAUCGGAGCAGACACAGAGCCAUCGUACGUCCAUUUAGGGUUGUUGCACCAACACAAGUGAACUUGAGUCAUGAGUCACCCAGAACAGGCCUUGAGCCAAUUAGGGCUGUUGUACCAGCACAUGAGAACUUGAUUCACGAGUCAGCCAGUAGUGGCUUUGAUCAAUCGAUCAUAGACUUGCUUCCAAAAUUUGUUUACAAAGCGAGCCCCCGGCACUGGCUAGGCGACGGUGGUGAGGCUGUGGAGUGCACGGUUUGCCAAAUCACCGUAGUGGAAGGAAACAGAGUUAGGCUUCUAAAUUGUAUGCACUUGUUCCAUGUAGAUUGCAUCGAUCGGUGGCUGAGAUUGAGGUCCACUUGUCCCAAUUGUCGUGCGGAGCCUAGGCCACAGAAUUGGACAGUGAUAGCUCCACCGUGGCUAGAGGAAAUGGCUUCAGAUGGAUGAGGUGGAUCAGCUUCUGCAAUAAUUUGAUGUUGAAAUAUUAGGAGGACCUGACUAGGUGUGUAGGUUGAGUUGGGUACGAGUUCCAAAUAACAAAGAUUGGUGGGGUGUUUAAAUGUAGUGGGAGAUCUAUCUUUUGGCUUGCGUUUAGAGUAGAUAUUAGAAUAGUGACUAGCUAAGGGGAUAUUUUUUUUUUGAGAACAAAGUAAAGGUUUAUGAUCAAAUACUUAAUGUUCAACUCGGGGCUAUAAAUUUGGAGGAAUCCAUUACUCUUGUAGACUUUGAUGAACAA